GCCAACGUCCUCGCUGACACACCGCCCCGAUGUCUGCCUCUGAUGCCAUUUGUAACAGCUUAACCCCACCGUUAGUAUAUAUUGUCCUUUUCGAGCUUUCCCUUCUGGGAUUCCCCUCAAGGUUUUUAAAACGCGUCUAUUAGGGAGAGGUUUCCACACCUUUAUAAAGAAUGUUUUGUUCUCCUCCUCAACCAAUAUGGGCUAGCAAGUUAUCCCAACGUUCAAAUCAGACACAAAAAGUUCCAGUCUUAAUCCAAUAGUUCAUCUUGUCCAAGUUACCAAAAUAUCGACCAAGUCUCGAAACAUGGAAUAACCCAAACCAAAAGGAACUACUUAGUUGAGUCGUAAAGUUGUUCGACAUAACAUAUCUACCCCUAAAAAUCAAUCGCUCGCGUAUGCCUUUGGUUGCAUUUAGUCCCUAAAAUUCAAAUCUAGCAAUUU